GAUCCUGGCUCAGGACGAACGCUGGCGGCGUGCCUAACACAUGCAAGUCGAGCGGAGACAGUGAGUAGCUUGCUAUGAGCUGUUUUAGCGGCGGACGGGUGAGUAACGCGUGAGCAACCUUUCCCAGACAGGGGAAUAACACACCGAAAGGUGUACUAAUACCGCAUAAGACCACGGGAUCACAUGGUUCUGGGGUAAAAGAUUUAUCGGUUUGGGGUGGGCUCGCGUCCGAUUAGGUAGUUGGUGAGGUAACCGG
rnacentral:rRNA from 1 species